rnacentral:rRNA from 1 species
ACGGGUGAGGAAUACAUCGGAAUCUACCUUUUCGUGGGGGAUAACGUAGGGAAACUUACGCUAAUACCGCAUACGACCUUCGGGUGAAAGCAGGGGACCUUCGGGCCUUGCGCGGAUAGAUGAGCCGAUGUCGGAUUAGCUAGUUGGCGGGGUAAAGGCCCACCAAGGCGACGAUCCGUAGCUGGUCUGAGAGGAUGAUCAGCCACACUGGAACUGAGACACGGUCCAGACUCCUACGGGAGGCAGCAGUGGGGAAUAUUGGACAAUGGGCGCAAGCCUGAUCCAGCCAUACCGCGUGGGUGAAGAAGGCCUUCGGGUUGUAAAGCCCUUUUGUUGGGAAAGAAAAGCAGCUGGCUAAUACCCGGUUGUUCUGACGGUACCCAAAGAAUAAGCACCGGCUAACUUCGUGCCAGCAGCCGCGGUAAUACGAAGGGUGCAAGCGUUACUCGGAAUUACUGGGCGUAAAGCGUGCGUAGGUGGUUGUUUAAGUCUGUUGUGAAAGCCCUGGGCUCAACCUGGGAAUUGCAGUGGAUACUGGACGACUAGAGUGUGGUAGAGGGUAGUGGAAUUCCCGGUGUA